rnacentral:rRNA from 1 species
CUACGGGAGGCACCAGUGAGGAAUAUUGCACAAUGGGGGGAACCCUGAUGCAGCAACGCCGCGUGGAGGAUGACGCAUUUCGGUGUGUAAACUCCUUUUAUAUGUCAAGAAAAUGACGGUAGCAUAUGAAUAAGCACCGGCUAACUCCGUGCCAGCAGCCGCGGUAAUACAGGAGGGUGCAAGCGUUACUCGGAAUCACUGGGCGUAAAGGAUGCGUAGGCGGGUUGGAAAGUCAGGUGUGAAAUCCUACAGCUUAACUGUAGAACUGCACUUGAAACUUCUAAUCUAGAGUAUGGGAGGGGGAGAUGGAAUUAGUGGUGUAGGGGUAAAAUCCGUAGAUAUCACUAGGAAUACCUAAAGCGAAGGCGAUCUCCUGGAACAUUACUGACGCUAAGGCGUGAAAGCGUGGGGAGCAAACAGGAUUAGAUACCCUUGUAGUC